GUGGGGGGGGGGGGUCCCCGAUAUGACAGAACCUGCCCCCACCCUGUCCCUGGACCCCGUCCUCACCCUGACCAGCCAGCAGACGACCGCUUUAUGCAAAAUGGAGAAAUGCUAAAUGGAGACGGACGCCUCUUCCGUCUCCAUCAUUGGCCAAGGGUUCCCGGAAGCUCCACGUGGAAUAAAGACCCCCGAGGCCCCCACGGUGUCUUGCCUGAAGUCUCUCAGCCAGAGGCCAAGCCAGGACUCGCCGUUACUGAGUGCCUCCUGCAUGCCCAUAUUGCAAUAAUCUUAUGUAACUGUCACAACAGCCCUAGACAAGGAACUGAGACUCAGAGAGGUUAGGGAACACGUCCCAGGUCACACAGCCCAGUAUGUGGCAGAACAGGGAAUCAAACCAGCUCUGCCUAGGCUCACCAGCUUCCAUUCUGUUCACAUGAAAAUAUUAAAACUCGCAUCU